rnacentral:rRNA from 1 species
CAUAAGUAACGAUAAAGCGGGUGAAAAGCCCGCUCGCCGGAAGACCAAGGGUUCCUGUCCAACGUUAAUCGGGGCAGGGUGAGUCGACCCCUAAGGCGAGGCCGAAAGGCGUAGUCGAUGGGAAACGGGUUAAUAUUCCCGUACUUGGUGUUACUGCGAAGGGGGGACGGAGAAGGCUAUGUUGGCCGGGCGACGGUUGUCCCGGUUUAAGCGUGUAGGUGUGUGUUCCAGGUAAAUCCGGUUCACUUUAACACUGAGGCGUGAUGACGAGGCACUACGGUGCUGAAGCAACAAAUGCCCUGCUUCCAGGAAAAGCCUCUAAGCAUCAGGUAACAUCAAAUCGUACCCCAAACCGACACAGGUGGUCAGGUAGAGAAUACCAAGGCGCUUGAGAGAACUCGGGUGAAGGAACUAGGCAAAAUGGUGCCGUAACUUCGGGAGAAGGCACGCUGACACGUAGGUGAAGUGAUUUACUCAUGGAGCUGAAGUCAGUCGAAGAUACCAGCUGGCUGCAACUGUUUAUUAAAAACACAGCACUGUGCAAACACGAAAGUGGACGUAUACGGUGUGACGCCUGCCCGGUGCCGGAAGGUUAAUUGAUGGGGUCAGCGCAAGCGAAGCUCCUGAUCGAAGCCCCGGUAAACGGCGGCCGUAACUAUAACGGUCCUAAGGUAGCGAAAUUCCUUGUCGGGUAAGUUCCGACCUGCACGAAUGGCGUAAUGAUGGCCAGGCUGUCUCCACCCGAGACUCAGUGAAAUUGAACUCGCUGUGAAGAUGCAGUGUACCCGCGGCAAGACGGAAAGACCCCGUGAACCUUUACUAUAGCUUGACACUGAACAUUGAGCCUUGAUGUGUAGGAUAGGUGGGAGGCUUUGAAGUGUGGACGCCAGUCUGCAUGGAGCCGACCUUGAAAUACCACCCUUUAAUGUUUGAUGUUCUAACGUGGACCCGUUACCCGGGUUGCGGACAGUGUCUGGUGGGUAGUUUGACUGGGGCGGUCUCCUCCUAAAGAGUAACGGAGGAGCACGAAGGUUGGCUAAUCCUGGUCGGACAUCAGGAGGUUAGUGCAAUGGCAUAAGCCAGCUUGACUGCGAGCGUGACGGCGCGAGCAGGUGCGAAAGCAGGUCAUAGUGAUCCGGUGGUUCUGAAUGGAAGGGCCAUCGCUCAACGGAUAAAAGGUACUCCGGGGAUAACAGGCUGAUACCGCCCAAGAGUUCAUAUCGACGGCGGUGUUUGGCACCUCGAUGUCGGCUCAUCACAUCCUGGGGCUGAAGUAGGUCCCAAGGGUAUGGCUGUUCGCCAUUUAAAGUGGUACGCGAGCUGGGUUUAGAACGUCGUGAGACAGUUCGGUCCCUAUCUGCCGUGGGCGCUGGAGAACUGAGGGGGGCUGCUCCUAGUACGAGAGGACCGGAGUGGACGCAUCACUGGUGUUCGGGUUGUCAUGCCAAUGGCACUGCCCGGUAGCUAAAUGCGGAAGAGAUAAGUGCUGAAAGCAUCUAAGCACGAAACUUGCCCCGA